GCUCUUUUCAGCAGACUGCCUAUGCCGGUACAGAGGAUUACGGAGCAAAAGGGGAACGGCAGUUGAACCCUGAGUCAGUGAGGACUCCCUUAAAGAAGCUCAAAGACAGGAAGGGAGGAAUGCUAAACAAAGCAGUCAACCAGGACACAAAUCGCGACCGGAAACUGAGAAUCAGCAGGCUGAACGAGGAGACAAUGCUUCAGGGAGCAACGCCAAGCCCAACUGAUGAGGCGAAAGCAGGUUCAGCCAGUCCUUGGGGCAAUAGGAAGAUAACGGCCUUUGCUCGAGGCACCAGUGGUGAAAUCACUCUGCCAACCUUUGGAUUUAAACCAGCAACCUUCCGAUUACAAGUACAGGUACAGUAUCCUAACCAUGCUCAGACACAGACCUAUAAGUCGGUAUAAGCUAUAAUCAGACAAAGAAAAUGACUAAGACUGCAUGACUGAGACGGGGGCAUGUGAUUGCUUAAAAAAGGCUGCUGGGUAUUCAAAUCACUUUAUCUAAUGCAUGACUAUGGAUGAGGAACUGAUUAACAAAGAGAGGUGUGUGAAAGGUGGGGGGUGGCCGGGGGGGUGGGCACGCAGAAGGGAACUAUGACAGAAAAAGACAAGCAGAGGAUAAAUGUUCAUCAGCUCAUCAACCUGAUCAUCGGAUGUUUUCAGCCAGUGUUUUCUUUGCAGCCUAAUACCAAGCAGCAGCCUUAGAGAUGUACAAUCUGGACGUCUUUACAUAACUGGGACUGAAAAAAGGAGCGAGAAGCUCUAUGAACAGGCUAGCUGUGGAUUAUUAGCAUAGCAAACAUUCAGAAUCACUGCUUAUGGGAGUCUGCUUGGUUUCCAUUGUGAUUAACCAUGACGGUUUGCUUAUGGUCCUUAUAAGAAGGGAGACAGGAACCGUCAUUCACAGACCCUCCCCCCAAAAAAAAAAACAGAUAUGGAACAAUCCCCAAAGUUCUUCAUUAGACAGGCCUUAGAUGGACCCUCCUGUGCUCCAGGGCACACGUGAGGAAAACGCCAGGCUCUCGCUCCCUUCACAGCCUGGCUUUUCUAUUCCGAGGGAGCGUCACCAAAGUGACAAACGCAUUGCUGCCAAGGCAUUUACAGUCACAGCUAUCACUUACAAGCAGUCAGGUAAUGCAAGAGCUACACUGAUUCAAAAUCUUAAAAGUCACAAAACGUUGUAACAUGCAAAAAUCUCGACGACGAGGGAGA